rnacentral:rRNA from 1 species
CACGUAGGGUGCGAGCGUUGUCCGGAAUUAUUGGGCGUAAAGGGCUCGUAGGCGGUCCAUCGCGUCGGGAGUGAAAAGCUGGGGCUUAACCCCAGUCCUGCUUCCGAUACGGGUGGACUAGAGGUAGGCAGGGGAGAACGGAAUUCCUGGUGUAGCGGUGAAAUGCGCAGAUAUCAGGAGGAACACCGGUGGUGAAAACGAGUCUCUGGUCCGCUUCUGACGCUCAGGUGCGAAAGCUAGGGGAGCAAACGGG